rnacentral:rRNA from 1 species
CCGCGGGAUUAGAGUUUGAUCCUGGCUCAGAUUGAACGCUGGCGGCGUGCCUAACACAUGCAAGUCGAGCGGUAACAGGUGUAGCAAUACAUGCUGACGAGCGGCGAACGGGUGAGUAAUGCUUUGGAAUCUUCCCAGUAGUGGGGAAUAACCAGUCGAAAGAUUGGCUAAUACCGCAUACGUCUGUAAAGGGAAAGCGGGGGCUCGUAAGACCUCGCGCUAUUGGAUGAGCCAAAGUCGGAUUAGCUAGUUGGUGGGGUAAUGGCCUACCAAGGCGACAAUCCGUAGCUGGUCUGAGAGGACGACCAGCCACACCGGAACUGAGACACGGUCCGGACUCCUACGGGAGGCAGCAGUGGGGAAUAUUGGACAAUGGGGGAAACCCUGAUCCAGCGACGCCGCGUGUGUGAAGAAGGCCUGCGGGUUGUAAAGCACUUUUAGUGGGGACAAAAAGCUACGGACUAAUAUUCUGUGGUCUUGAUUUAACCCAAAGAAAAAGCACCGGCUAACUCUGUGCCAGCAGCCGCGGUAAUACAGAGGGUGCGAGCGUUAAUCGGAAUUACUGGGCGUAAAGCGCGCGUAGACGGUUUUGUAAGUCAGAUGUGAAAUCCCUGGGCUCAACCUGGGAACUGCAUUUGAAACUGCAUGGCUAGAGUAUCGAAGAGGGAAGUGGAAUUUCCGGUGUAGCGGUGAAAUGCGUAGAUAUCGGAAGGAACACCAGUGGCGAAAGCGACUUCCUGGUCGAAUACUGACGUUCAUGUGCGAAAGCGUGGGGAGCAAACAGGAUUAGAUACCCUGGUAGUCCACGCCAUAAACG